rnacentral:lncRNA from 1 species
AUUCUACAAGGAGUUGUUGAGCACCUGCUGUCUAUCUACAGAAAUCUUGAAAUGUGGAACAGAGAUGGAAAUAUAGCAUGCAAGUCAGAAUGAAUUGCCAAACAAUGACAGAAGGCUGCUCUGAAAUGAUCAAAAUUUUCUCCUGGGACCUCACACCAAAGGAAUAUAAUAGGCAUUCAUUUCUAAGACAAUGCGGCAUUCUCAUAAUCUUAAACUCUGGUGAAAACAGAAAAUUAUUGUCAGUGAACAUCUACUAAAUACAGACAGGUCCUGGACUUUGGUUUCUCUUCUGGUAAAGUGAGAACAGUGUCUCCCAUUAGCCAAAAUAAGCAGAGGUCAGUGAAAUAACAAUGUAACACCAAGACAUGGUGCACUUCUCAGGUGAAAACUUUUAU